rnacentral:rRNA from 1 species
AUGAACGCUAGCGGCAGGCCUAACACAUGCAAGUCGAGGGGCAGCACAAGGAGCAAUCUGAGGUGGCGACCGGCGCACGGGUGAGUAACACGUAUGCAACCUGCCUGUAAGCGGGGAAUAACCCGUUGAAAGACGGACUAAUACCGCAUAAUACUAAAUUACUGCAUGGUAAUUUAUUUAAACAUUUAUGGCUUACAGAUGGGCAUGCGCAUGAUUAGCUAGUUGGAGAGGUAACGGCUCCCCAAGGCAACGAUCAUUAGGGGUUCUGAGAGGAAGGUCCCCCACACUGGUACUGAGACACGGACCAGACUCCUACGGGAGGCAGCAGUGAGGAAUAUUGGUCAAUGGACGAGAGUCUGAACCAGCCAAGUCGCGUGCAGGAAGAAUGUUCCCUAUGGAUUGUAAACUGCUUUUGCAGGGGAAUAAAGUGCAUCACGUGUGAUGUUUUGUAUGUACUCUGCGAAUAAGGAUCGGCUAACUCCGUGCCAGCCGCCGC